rnacentral:tRNA from 1 species
AGGGGUUUAGGUUAAACUAGACCAAGAGCCUUCAAAGCCCUAAGCAAAUCACAUAGAUUUAACCCCUG